AAUUACAUCUGUAAAC
rnacentral:misc_RNA from 1 species